AUGCUCCUAGUCUGUCAGUCAGAAACACGAGUCAAGACGAGUCAGACACAAACUGGCCAGUCAGCCUUCGUCGCAAGCAGCUGGCCCCGCACCGGACCAGUGAGUUCCACACUGCGUCUUUCCGUCCGUCGGUUCACGCGCGGCUCGGGGUCGGCCCCUCGCUCCCCGCUCGCGCGUGCCGGUCCCCUGCAUCUCGUUCAGGCCACCUCGGGCGUUCGCGACUCCAGGGCCUCCAGUAGUUCCCCUCCAGCAACCAGGUCGGGACCCCAACCCGACCCACCACACCCGCAGGCGGGCGCACGCUGCCGGGAGGCGACGGGCAGGCGCGGCCGUGAGGAGCUCGCGCGCUCCAGCCGGGACCACCGCUCCUGGACUACAAUUCCCAGAAGGCGCUACGUCGCCCGCCCCAGCAGCCCGAGUCACGUCGGGAGUUGUAGUCCAACUGGGUUCGUGAAGCGAGGGAACAGCGGCCGUGACUUUGUGGGGCAGUGGCGGCGGUGUGUGUAUGGUCCGGCCCGAGGGUGUACGGAAGGCGGCAGCGUGCAUGGUAUGAGAGUUUACAGCAAUUUCCCCUGAGGAGUUUCUUAUCUGACUUGGUUUCAAAGUAUCUGUAAGGAAAUUAGUAGGAAUAUGAUGCCUAGAAAAGGUGACCCGAAAUGAGAAUUGGAAAAUUCCAAAAGAGCUGCACUUCAUGGAGAGGGCCGCAAACGCUGACGGUGACAAGCUUGUUCCCAGCUUAACCGAUGAGGUGACUGGAGCCCAGCCCACCCAGUGCCCACCCGAAGAACUGUGGAAACACGACCCUUCUACAGUUGCCACUGUGCGGGCCGUGGCAGAGGGGACGGGGCAGUCGCAGGCCUGGCUUCUGAGCUGUCCAGUUACCGCGGGGUCUCCCCGAGACAGGGCACACUAGUGGUGGCAGCAUUCCAAGUCUGUUGCCCCACACCAACGACGGGGCUGCCGCAAGUGGAGGGCACUAGCGGCCGGGCUUCUCCUGGUCAUCCUGCGUCAGGGGCAGCAGCGGCAAGGAAACGGAACAAAGACAGCCACGCUGCUUACGUGGUAAAAUCAACAGGAUGUCUACCGGUAUCUUUUGGACUGAGAGAUGGGGUGGCAGGGGCAACAAUCCUCGAGAAAGGGAGCAGGGCAGGGGGCACAGGUUUGGGACGGAGAGUGGCAUUUUCCUCUGGGUAGGCGGUUUCCCCAGCUUGCCGGGCAUCCAGGGGGAGCUUCUGGCAGCAUGCAGCUGCUGUUCCAGCCGAAGUUCGGAGACCAGGACCUGGGAGUGAGCAGCACACAGCCACGGUGUGGACUGGGGCAUCUCGGGAGUGCGUGCUCAAGAUGUGCCUCUGGGACAGCAGCCCAGGGGCCCCAGGAGUUGAGGGGAAGGCAAGAGGCCCCUUGAGAGACAGAAGGGAUCUGGGUGACCACAGUGCUCCAGCAUGCCAGGGGACCGAGGACUGUGGGGGGCCUGGUUGGCAAGCGGGACAAGCCAGGCAUUGAAGAGGCAGUGGCGCCUGACCUGACGGGGGAGUGCGGCAGAUUCCUCCAGAAAGAGACUGGGAAGAAAGGCAGCAGGCGCUGCCAGCUGUCCACUGUUAACCUCUUCUGAGGCUUUUUCUCGGGUAUAGUCUCAACCACAGAGGUUAGAGAAGCUAAGCGAUUCAGUCUUGGCCAGCGAGACAUGGAGGCAUUGGAUGGAAGCUUCUGAGUCGUUUCUUUGAAACCUCACCAGCGAUGAGUACUGGCCUGCCUUUCCCCCUCCUCCAGUCCUGAUGAUGGUGGGUGCAUCGGCUCAGGCUGCAGUGGUCUCCCUGUGACCACGAGGGACAGGCUGGGAGAGAAGACACUGACUCUGAUGGCGCAGAGCCACUGAAGAUACAGCCUUCAAGCAAAGUCUGAUCUGUUUAAGCCGCUGUUAACAGGGUGCUGACUUCAAAUGCUGCCUCCAACUCCUGGCUGUGCAACCUUGGGAAGGUUCUGUUCGUCCUGGGCCAGAUUCCCUUACACAUAAAACCGUGCCACCUCACGGAGGUGUGAGUCACUGCCUGUCUGAAAACACACCUCUUCUGAGCCACGUAAAUAGAAGGUUAUUUGCUAAGAAUGAAAUGGAAGGUGGUGCAGGCCAAGGCGUGACGACAGAGGCGCUGCGAUAGUGAGAGUUGACGGAGAAGUCCACAAGACAAGUCCAGAGUGACAGGGUGGCAGAGACACACCCGAGGCUCCAAGGCAUCCUGCGGAACCUCUGCAGGUGAGCUGCAAGCCUGGCUCCGCUACUGUGGAAACCCUACGGGGUGUGACACUCAAGCAUCCCAAGAACAGAACUGGACGAAGCAAAGUUCUAACAGGUCCUGACACUCACCCAUCACAUCUCAGCAGUGAGUUCUGACGGUCAGUCACUCUGACACUGUGCUUAGAACAGCCGCUGCACCGUUCCAGAAUACUUCUUCCAUUCAACUCGACACUCUGACAAUCCAGUAUUCCCUCUGGGGGAUAUUUUUCUGGGACAAUUUCUACAAGCUGACCUGUGCCGUGGCCAAUUUUCCUUCCUUCCAAUUGUUGAUGUUUAUGUUUUGUAUUUAACUUUGCGAGGACGCAACCACAGUGGGAACAGCAAACAAACAAAAGGCAACUGUGCUGUGUAACUGCGGCACACAAGGCAGCAUCCCAGAGGCACGGGCACUUCACUCUUUCAUUCUAGGUUAGAAAGCAGGCAGAUUAGGUCCUUAGUUUUUGCAUCCUUUCUGCUGAGACACCAAGGAUCACACCUUUGAACACAAUGUUCUUUAUACCAAGAAUAGCAUAGACAAAGAGCAGAAGGCUUUGAUUUCCUCAGGAGUAAAGUUGGAAGAGAGCAAGAUGAUGAGCCAGGUGAAGUUUCCAAUUGUGGACAUGAAAAUGGUCGUAUUACAACGUACGGCAUCAUAUAUAAAUAAGCUAUUUUCUCAGGCAGCUUGCUUUCCUGGACACUGACAGCUGAAAGGUCGGUCUUCUGAAGGUCAGCAGAGAUCCCAGCAAGAUGGUAAGCUGUGCUUGAGGUGGGGCAGAUAAACUUUGAGAACAAAACAGAGUCACAUCAUUCACAAAGGGCCCUCAGCAUACUCCAGUGGAUCUGAUGGGCAGGCUUGGGAAAGGGACAAAAUUUAGGUUAUCUUGUUGUUUCCCCCAACAUAUAAAAGACUAAAAAAGAAAAAGAGGGGAAACCUAUAGAUUAAGAGAGACCUAAGUCAAGCUAAUGUACUGUGUGAUUUUUCUUUAGAUCAUGAUUAGAACAAACCAAACAGAAAACAAAAUUUAUAAGGAAACCAGGAAUAUCCACUAGAUAUUUGAUGACAUAGUAAUUACUGUUAUUUCUCCUUAGAUGGUAAUAUAGUUUUACUCAAGAUUUAAUGAAAUUAAUACUUUUUCCUGCUUCAUCACAGACAUUCUUAAGUGAAACCAUCCCCCCCGCCCCCUGCCCAACCCCCUUUACUGAAAUGCCAGGGAAGGAAAAAUAUGGACAGUGACCUCGGGGCAACUUCCUUGAUUCUGAGACUCUGGCAGUGUUACCCAGUGUUGGAUUCGCACUAUCGGUGUAAACAUCAACUUAGUGAAAAAGGCAAAUGCUGGCUCAGAAUGACUAUAAAAAUGGUUUUUGUCAUCAUAGGCCAUGCUUUUUAGAGAUAUUUUUAAAAACUGAUAAAAUGACAAGAUUUCUGGUGCUGAUGUAAAAAUAAUCCUAUGGCCACAGGGGUGCCAGUGAAAAUGUAUCAGCACAUGGAAUGUCCAAAAUAAAAUGCUAAAAUUACUCAGAAAAAUAAGUGGAUGCUCUUCCCUCACACCGACUACCAAUGUUGCAAAACAGCGGAAAAGAAUUAAUUACUGAAAGAAAUGUAAACAUGCUCAAGAUAGCAUGUGUUAAAAUCGGAUGUAAAGGACUGUUAACAAAGCCCUGAUAACCAACUUCCAGAGUCAGGAAAGCUACCUCUUAUGCUGGGCAAGGGUUCUCCACCUCAAGGCCAGGUGGCUCUUUGGUGACGGGGUUUUGCAGGAUGCUCAGCAGCAUCCUCAACCUCCCCCACAGGAUGCCGCCGCUCCCCUCUGCCAGUCAUGACAACCAAAAUGUGUCCAGACAUCACCAAGUAUCCCCUGGGGAACAAAGCCACUCUGAGCGAGACCCUCCAUCACAGGAAACAUUGCCAAUCUAAGGCCAUGGUUUCUAACAGGAGCCGUGACACCCCCAGGGAAAGCUGUGGGAUCUCACGGGGGAAUCCUUUGUCGCUUGAUUUGGGCCUGAGUGUGGCUGCCAGGCCUACUCUGAGGACUCAAGUGCAGACAUGGACCCCAGCAGCCACGGGUGUAUGUCUGCGACUCCUUUCCAUAAAUAAGAACUGCUUGGGUUGACUCCACAUAUAAAUUCCUGCAUGUUUAGAAUUUAGACAAAAGCUUCCAGUAACGCAGCUGCAUCUGUUUUGUGCAAAUCUUUCCCAAGCUUUAGUCACCACUUUGGGAUAUCACAACCACACAGGCCUCUCCUCAUGUGUCUGUGGGUAACCCCAUGCACCAGAUGGUAAGCCACAGGCAACGCCCCAAGUCUCCAGGCAUGAUGGUCGCCACCACAGAGAGAGGCAGCAACUCAGCCGACGUGACCUACUGACAGUGUCUUUUGCUUUAAGCAUCCUUUACAAAACGGGGACAUAUAUGGGUUUUUCAACAUUACACACGUGUGUAGGUUCCGUUAUCUCUGAAUUCAUGUCUGAGUACUGGGUUUGAGACUCUGGACAAUCAGUGAUCUCAGGUGUUUGCAAGCACCACUGCCUUAGGAAAUCUGAGGGCAUUUCUACCCUCAGCCCCCUUCCAGAAAUACACCGUGUGGACGUACCACAUUUCUGUACCUGCGGUUCAACAGUCAUCCGCCGCGUUCCUUCCCUACGUGGACUCCGUGAUGUCAAACAGCACGGACGUGCCCAUGGCGGGCUCUUCCACCCCAAUAACGCGCACCGGGUUCUUCUCCUGCAUGAUCUCGUGGAGGUCAAACAGCGCCAGCGCCCUGCCGGCGGGCGGCCCCGCCUUCGUCCCGCCCCCAGGGCUCUCCUCCGGGGGCCCGAGCGGGCACCGCGCGAGGUGCGGGCCGCGGCUGCGGGCCCGCGGGGCGCGGCCGGCCCCCCCCCC
ensembl:lincRNA